rnacentral:tRNA from 1 species
GGGGAUGUAACUCAGUGGUAGAGAAUAUGCUUAGCAUAUAUAAGAUCCUGAGUUUGAUCCCUAGCACCACCA